rnacentral:lncRNA from 1 species
AGUGGUGUUGUUCAUAGGAGGAACAUUGCCAGCCUGUUGCACGUUCUCCUCGUUGGUAAGUAUAGGCGUCUCCACGGUCUCAUUUCCACUGUUAAUAUUCUCAGUCGACAUUCUCAAAUACUGUCAUAAAACAAGGGUUAAUUAAGGAAAUCAAUAUAUCACAUAAUAUCCCUAUAUACUGACCAACUAACAAAUAAGCUUAGGUAGGACACACUAGCGAAGGAUUUACUCGUCUCUCCCCUCCUAGUUCUAUUCCCCGAUCUCCGCCAGAGAUCAUAUCCCUAAGCUCUGAUACCAACUGUGACGCCCCCAAAAUAGGUAUACAUCACCCAUUCUGAGUUGUCA